rnacentral:rRNA from 1 species
UACAGAGGUCCCAAGCGUUGUUCGGAUUCACUGGGCGUAAAGGGUGUGUAGGUGGCGCCGUAAGUCGGGUGUGAAAUUUCGGAGCUUAACUCCGAAACUGCAUUCGAUACUGCGGUGCUUGAGGACUGGAGAGGAGACUGGAAUUCAUGGUGUAGCAGUGAAAUGCGUAGAGAUCAUGAGGAAGACCAGUGGCGAAGGCGGGUCUCUGGACAGUUCCUGACACUGAGACACGAAGGCCAGGGGAGCAAACGGG